rnacentral:rRNA from 1 species
AACGAACGCUGGCGGCAGGCCUAACACAUGCAAGUCGAGCGGCAGCGGGUCCCCGCGAGGGGAUGCCGGCGAGCGGCGGACGGGUGAGGAACACAUCGGAAUCUGCCUGGUUGUGGGGGAUAACGUAGGGAAACUUACGCUAAUACCGCAUGCGACCCUGAGUCGACGGACUUGGGGUGAAAGUGAGGGACCUUCGGGCCUCACGCGACCAGAUGAGCCGAUGUCGGAUUAGCAGUUGGCGGGGUAACGGCCCGCCAAGGCGACGAUCCGUAGCUGGUCUGAGAGGAUGAUCAGCCGCACUGGGACUGAGACACGGCCCAGACUCCUACGGGAGGCAGCAGUGGGGAAUCUUGGACAAUGGGCGCAAGCCUGA